UCCCUGGUGGCUCAGAAGGUAAAAGAAUCUGCCUGCAAUGCAGGAGACCCAGGUUCAAUCCCCAGGUUGGGGAG
rfam:TPA: Bos taurus chromosome 17, whole genome shotgun sequence.